ensembl:lncRNA
AGGAGGGCAGAGGCCACAGACACUGGAUAGGCAGCCAACACAUUUCUACUAUGGAUCCAUACUUUGUGGUUUUCUUUGGCUGCUGCCAGAGCAUGCAGAAGUUCCUGGACCAGGGGUUGAACCCGAGCCACAGCAGCAACCAGAGCCACAGCAGUGACAACAUCGGAUCCUUAAUCUGCUGAGCCACCAGGGAACUCUUGGGUCUGUGUUAGGGUAGGAGAAACUGAGGAUUGAGUCAUUUAUUAAAGGGCAUUUGCUCACUGGCUAUUGAGCAGACGCACAUCUCUCAUCAACAGAUGUCCCUUGAGUGGGAAACAUUGCCUAUUCUGGACCAUCUGGAACCUUGUAUUUUAAUCAAGAGUCUUCGAGUUGCAAGACAUAGAAGCCUAUUCAAGCUAAUUUGAAUAAAACAACAGGGUUUAUUCUCAGAGUACAGGAUUCAAGACCUCAUCCUGUCUUCUCCCACAAAUGACAUUAUAAUCUCAUAUGAUGAAAUGUUAAAAACGGUACACACAUUGCUUAUUGAAAAAAAUAUUAAUUCACCCCAGAGGCCUCUGCAGCCUGUUCAGGGUGGAGCCUCUGUUCCUGUCAUUAUAUUUGGGUUUAGGGAGCUUCAAAUAUAUCUAACCCGUUUUGCAUGCAGUUCUAGCUAGCUCAUUUAAGCUUAAUUAGAUGGAUGUGUUCAAAAAAAGGGAAAGGAACUGAAGUUUCUCAGGAAAAAAAAAUAUAGGGGAUAGAUUGGAAAUCUGGAUGGUGAAAUCUGCUCUCCUCAUUACCCGGCUUAGAUAUUCAGUGACUGUAGCCUCAACUGCAUGCCUGCUCUGCACUGAGCUUGCAUUCUGAUUCUGGUCCCACAGGUGCAAGCCAGAGAUUACUCCAGGCUUGCAAGAGGCAUGCUGGUUUUAUAAAGUUUUCUCCACCUACUCCCGUACAUGAGCUGGGACCAUGGAAAAACUUCUCAGCCACUCAAGUAUCCAGAGAGGGCGAGGUAUCUUCUGUCUCUUCGUGAAGGUUCCAGACAGCCCUGUUUUGGGGAUGUCAGGUGACUGCGGUGAAGCUGUCAAUCAUAGACCUUGCUCCUGUUACCAUAGAGAUUGGUCAGGUGACUGAAGGCCAGCCAAUCACAAUUACUGUUCCAGUGCAAAGGGCUGCCCUCACAACAGAUGAAGUCAAAAUCUCAAGACUACGUCUCAUUGGUAUGACACAAGUCACAUGUCUGUUCCCAAACCUCUCACAGUGCUUGGGAGAAAAAUAUGCUGAUUAGCGAGGUCUUAGGGGAAUCUUUCUC